GCGGGAGAGUGCCGAUGUGCAAAAGAAGAGCACAGUAAUUUGCUAGUGCGGUGGUUCGGAUUAUCGGCUGGGAAACAGCCUCGUGCCGCGAAUAUCAUAAUCGCCGUAGUGAAGUGUGCACAAAUUGUGGCUAGAAGAAAAUUGGAUUUCCAAUCGACGGGGUAAAUCGUCGCAUCACAGGGGCCAUUUUGCACACCAGAGGCAGUGUGGGAAGUUUCGUCCCAACUAAGAUAGCUGUACACUACAGGAGUGAUUGUGCAGAAGGCACGCUGGGUGCGCAAACCUAACCCCAACGCAGAGAAGAUCGCUGGCCACAAAGCUCACGGCCACAGGUAGUUAAUAGCACAAGGCAGGAACGAACGGCAGAUUGGCGUAACGCCAAACGGUUGCGACCACACCGAAGCGAGUUCGAGGCCACGAUUCGCGGGGCGAUUUGACAUCCUAGACAAGGAAGCGCAAACUCAAUUGUGCGAACCAUUG